CCGCCAUGGCCAUAGCCGCCACCAUUUCUCUUCCACUUACCUCUCCCUCUCCACGCUUUCUCGCCUCAUUUUCUUCUCUCCGAUUCUCUUUUACUUCCACGCUUCAACUGGGUUCCCUUUCGAAGUAUUCCGCUCGGAGAAGAAGCCCUAGGCUCUCCGUCUCCGCGUCUUCCGCUGGCCUUGAAGUUACGGAGAAAGUGUCG
rnacentral:misc_RNA from 1 species